rnacentral:lncRNA from 1 species
UGGAAAUUCGUAAGGCUCAAUAGAAUUCUAAUUGGCAAGGCAACAACACAACACAUACAAUGCUAAUCAUAACAGAAGGAACUGGUAUCGAUCUUAACAACUUGGUCAUCUUCAAGUGUCUCCUCUGUCUUUGCAAUACCAUUGUCAAGCGAGGCAAGAACAGAUGCUGAAACAACAGUGUCCUUCUAUUUGGGGCAAACAGCAAGUGAAUGAGGAAGAGAAUGAGGAGGAUGAUGAUAAUCAAGGUUACUAUAUGGAAAAUCACAGGAAUGGAAAUACAAUUAUGAAUACAAGGAGCAUUCAUAAGCUUUACCGUAAUGGAAUUGGGGGAAGUACUCCCAGUAAUGUGAGCGGAAGUGGUUCUGGUGGGAGUGCUGGCAGUGGUUUUAGAAUUAGAAUAACUACCGGAGUGAGUAUAGCUCAACCAGGACCCAAGUUUUAUGCCAAAGUUGAUCAGAAGUACACUGGAAACCCUAAUUUGAGUUCUAACUCGAAUUCUAAGCCUAAUUUUGGAGUUGGGACUGGGUCUGGAUCCGGGUUGGGGAGUAGUAGGGUUUUGAGGGGUUCAGAUGAAAUUGGGAAGAAGAGGGAGAGAGAACCGAUGGAGGAGAUGGUGGCGGCAGUCAAGGUGUUAGGAGAUGGUUUUGUGAGAAUGGAGCAGAUGAAGAUGGAAAUGGCAAGGGAGAUAGAGACCAUGAGAAUGGAGAUGGAGAUGAAACGCAGGGAGAUGAUUCUGGAGUCGCAACAGCGUAUUGUAGAGGCUUUUGCAAAGGCUUUCUCGGAGAAGAAGAAGAAGCCCAAGAGAAAAAAUCUGGUCCAGUCAGCUAGGGAGGGGGUAUUUUAGUCUUUUAGUCUUCAAUUAACGGAAAAAAAUCAACUUUUCGGAUGGAACGACCUUUUAAUUAGACGGAGUUAAACCUGAGGGACUAGUUAGAUAUUUGCGCAAAACUUGGGAUUAGUUGAUUAAUUAUGUAAAACCUGAGGGACUAAAUAAUAAAUUUUCCAAAAAAAACAAUACAGUCUAUAAAUUGUAC